rnacentral:rRNA from 1 species
GACGGAAGGUGCAAGCGUUGUUCGGAAUUACUGGGCGUAAAGGGCUCGUAGGCGGCCAACUAAGUCAGACGUGAAAUCCCUCGGCUUAACCGGGGAACUGCGUCUGAUACUGGAUGGCUUGAAUCCGGGAGAGGGAUGCGGAAUUCCAGGUGUAGCGGUGAAAUGCGUAGAUAUCAGGAAGAACACCCGUGGCGAAGGCGGCUCUCUGGGACGGUACUGACGCUGAGACGCGAAAGCGUGGGGAGCGAACAGG